GAAGCCAACCUCACUUUCCAGUUUCAAGCAUACACAACAAAAAAGGAGCUAAAUACAGCUAUUUUGUGAAUUAGUAGGGAGAGUAGUUUUCUUCAUAAUCUGUACUGGUAAUUACAUAAAAGUGGGGGGCAGUGGUGCUGAUUCUAAAGAGAUUGAUAAGUUUGUUUGGGGAACAUUGUGAGAUUGGCUUUUAGUGAAUACACGGGGUUGCUUUGGUGGCUAGCAAAAGUUUAGGGACAAGUCAUCUCUUUUAUGGUCCUUCAAAUUCAUUGGUGAGAGAGGAUUAUUGAGUAGAGGAAUGUGGAUUCUGGUGUUUGCUUUUCCAGAGAAGGCAAAGGAAGUUGUUUAAAUAUUUAGUAGUACUAAGAGUGGAGGAAUAAACAAUUAGAGAAAGGGCGGUGGCCUCUGGUUUUGAGAGCUAAAAAUUUGCAUAUUUUGAGGUAUUAAGUCGUUUGAUUGUAUAUCUGGAUUGGCAUUUUUGGUUGGUUGUGGUUGAGCUUACAACUAGAAUUAGUAAAGAAGCCAACGCUCCUUAUUGAAAGCUUGUGAAUUUUGGAAAUAUAGACACUUCUGUGUUGCCCUUUACUUUUUCCUUACACAAAGAUGAAGUUUAUGAAACUUGGAUCCAAGCCUGAUCAAUUUCAGACAGAAGGAGAUAAUAUCAGGUUCACAUUAUGUUACUGCUGAACUGCUGAAAAAUACUGCUGCUGAAACUGCUGAAAAAUGCUGAACUGCUGCUGAAAACUGCUGAAAAUUGUUGAACUGCUGUUGAAAACUACUGAAAAAUGUUGAACUGCUGCUGAACUGAAAACUGAAAAUUGCUGAACUGAAAAUUGAAAACUGCUGCUGAAUUGAAAACUGCUGAACUGAAAAUUGAAAACUGCUGCUCAAUUGAAAACUGUCUGCUGUUGUCUACUGCUGAACUGCUGCUGCUGCUGCCGCUGAAAGCCUGAAUUGAAAACACCGAAUUGAAAAAACCGAAACCGAACCGAACCAAACUUCAAAAAACCGAAACCGAAAGAACCGAACCGAAUUAGUUUGGUUCGGUGUUUGGUGUUCACUUUCAAAACACCGAAACCGAAAUAGCUAAACCGAAGUAUGAGAAAACUGAACCGAAGAACCGAACGCCCA